CAGUGUGUGGUUUGUGUGUGUUUCGGGCAAGUCAACAAAAUUUUCGUUCUGUUCAAAAUUAAAUGUAUUUUUCAUGUAACACCAAUUCCCUUUCACAAGCCGUGUGUUCUUCUCAGGACGACCUCUGACGCUUGGCCCUUUCGCCUUGAAGUCUCCAAAGGGCAGAACUUUGCCUUUCAGCGAUCCAGCACGGAUUUUUUAAGGAUUAUAGUGAUACCAGCACUGUGCAGUCGGGAACAUGCAGGUGGAUGUUUCCACGGGCAGCUUCUAUGCGGACUCCAUCUCCAGCUCUGGGUACUGAUUGUUAAGAUCUCGUUUCUCAAUAAAGUUACGCGCUACAGUGAGGGCUAUCCGGGCGGAAUUCUUCAUCGGAUGGAGGAUUCCGCUGAUCUGCAACAUGCCAGCACUGGGACCAGCACCAGGCCUGGGAAGAUGGCGCCCUCACUCUGGUCGAAAAGGAAGGCCAUCUUGCGGAUGACCUUCUCAAGCAGAGGUACAGCCUCAAAGCGCUACUUUGAGCACUAAAGCGAUCAACAAGAACUCCACUAGUCUUGGAAGAGGUCCUGGGCCAAGGGAUUUCCCGACUGGUGGGGCAAUCAACCACGAGGGGCUGCUGCUGGAGCAUUCCUGACCUUGCACUCCUGGACUGUGACCUGUGACUGGACAUGGAUCUGCUGGCUAACCACCUGGUGGGAUUCGAAUGCUGCACAGCAGCAAGGCAUCCGGCGGUUGGGAAUGCACUGCAAAUAAAACACAACAGAAAUUUAAUUCGUUUCGGUUUUGUGAAUGAAAUGACUGCGAAGAGGUCAGCAAUAAUUAUAAUUAUAAUCAAAGUAAAGAACUAAUUUUUUAAUCGAAUGAAAAACCGAAAAACCGGUUUGGGAUUGAAAA